CCACACCGCUGCGGGCCCGCCCCGCAGCGCCCUGCGGCGUCCUUCCCAAAUCGGCGGUCCCCAGGCACCGUCUGCGGCUGUGACGGGGUCGCUUAGAGCUGUCGGGAGAGACUACCAGGCCACUGUCGCCAAGAAACGCUAGUGCAGCCACAUGGCUACUGCCAGUUAUGCAGCGAGGAUAUCCGGUGGCUGCAAAGUCUGUAAUUUAGAAAAGAAAGAGCUCUUCCAAGACCCGAGAGGCUGACCUCAGCGAGGCGUGGCGGUGGUGCGCUUGGCAGCGUCGAAGGAGACGGCCCAGGUUGUGACAGAUGAAAACCAAGCAAGUCUGUAAAUGUGAGUUACGUCUCAACACAUUCUACAUAAAAUUGCCAGUGAAGCAUUAAGUCCAAAUCCCCUGUCUCCAGUCUAAAGAAGAUUCAACACACUAGGUCACACAGUUGGUUGUGAAGACUGAAUGAGAUGCUAUGUGAUUCUUGUAGGAAAGUUAGAACAAUCUACAAACGUGCAACUGUAGUCAAGAAUAAAUUACUAUUGCUACAUAUAGAUACAGAACAUACCUCACCUAUAUAUCCUCCAGCUACAAAGUAAAGCCGACUGCUAAUUGAAAAAGAAACAUCUCGGGCCUGGAGAGCGGGGGCUGGGAGAAGAGAGAGUAGGUGUCACCGGCAACCUGGCAUUGGGAACGUCUUGGGGAUAAGCAGGCAGAGUGCCCUGCUGAGACUUCUAGAGCAGUGCUUUCUGCAGAUGGCCACUCUCGUUCACUUUCAGUCAGUGAAGAUCUACAUCCUUGGGUCUUCUUGCUCCCUGAUCUGGCUGCUACCACUUACUAUACACAGCAAAUAAAAUAAAA